rnacentral:lncRNA from 1 species
UUCUAGAUCUAGCAAUGACCAAAAAAGAGAAUCCCUACAACUCUAAGAUAGUUGCGGCGGUCCAAGGUAAUUGCAACAUAAUAGAACUACCAAUUCCACGCGGAUUACAGAGAUUUGGUUUAGCAUUUGUUCUACUGAAGGUGCAACUUUAGUUUCUUCAUCUUCGACUUCUACUUCAUUAUUGUAAGAGUAAAAAUCUCUCAUUUUAGUUUCUAUUGUUGCUAAAAAAUGGGAUUUUGGACAGAGAAGUUGAGGGGUAUAGGAAAUUCAAAGUGAUUGGCAAAGGGAAACGUUAUCUGUUUGGUUAAUGUGUUCCUCUGCUUAGGAUUUUUUAAAAAAAAAAAUCUUUUGCUUUUCCGAGGGAGACUGGUGGAUUGCUGAUGGGCUUCCUAUGGGCCAUGUCAUUGUGGGUGAGACCAAUAGGGGUCAAUAGAAUUCUGGCCUUUGCGCUUGUUUUUGCAAGAACGAUGAAUUCUGUAGUAAUUAUUCGAAGUUUGUGUCAUUCGAGGUUCUGAUUUGUAAUUUCGGUAUUUUUGUUCAAGGAUUAUCACUUCAUUUAGCU